rnacentral:sRNA from 1 species
GGUGUUUUACUGUUUUUCAUCAUACGCUGUGUAGAGUAAAUAUCUUGUAUAGCCACCCUCUGCCUUUAUAACUACCUGACAGUGAGAAGACAUCUCUGCUAUAAGCCCCUGUAGCUGCUUCCUUGUUAUAAAGUCCCAGGAAUUUCUAACCAUCUCUUGUAGUGCAUCAUAAGGAAGAUUUUCCUCAUUCCCAUGAUUCCUCUGUAUCCACUGCUUCAUAAGAUUUCAUACAGCUUCAAUUGGGUUCAGAUCAGGAGAAUAUGACAGCCAAUCUAUAGAAGUGAUUCCACAUUUCUGAAGAUCUUGAUUCUUGAGAAGUCUCUGCUGCAGCAUGCUCCGGAGCUCCAUCUUGCAUCAAUUUCAACCCAGAAUUCAUUUGUAUCCAUCCAUGAAUGAGAGCGACUAUACAUUCGCGAUAGGAUGUCUAGAUUGAUUAAAAAGAUGAU